AGUGAACGCUGGCGGUAGGCCUAACACAUGCAAGUCGAACGGCAGCACAGUAAGAGCUUGCUCUUACGGGUGGCGAGUGGCGGACGGGUGAGGAAUACAUCGGAAUCUAUUUUUUCGUGGGGGAUAACGUAAGGAAACUUACGCUAAUACCGCAUACGACCUACGGGUGAAAGCAGGGGAUCUUCGGACCUUGCGCGAUUGAAUGAGCCGAUGUCGGAUUAGCUAGUUGGCGGGGUAAAGGCCCACCAAGGCGACGAUCCGUAGCUGGUCUGAGAGGAUGAUCAGCCACACUGGAACUGAGACACGGUCCAGACUCCUACGGGAGGCAGCAGUGGGGAAUAUUGGACAAUGGGCGCAAGCCUGAUCCAGCCAUACCGCGUGGGUGAAGAAGGCCUUCGGGUUGUAAAGCCCUUUUGUUGGGAAAGAAAAGCAGCAGGUUAAUACCCCGCUGUUCUGACGGUACCCAAAGAAUAAGCACCGGCUAACUUCGUG
rnacentral:rRNA from 1 species